rnacentral:rRNA from 1 species
UACGUAGGGGGCUAGCGUUGUCCGGAUUUAUUGGGCGUAAAGAGCGUGUAGGCGGCCAGGUAGGUCUGCUGUGAAAACCUCGACGGGCUUAACCUCGAAGCUGUCGGCGGAAACCAUCUGGCUAGAGUCCGGAAGAGGAGAAUGGAAUUCCCGGUGUAAGCGGUGAAAUGCGCAGAUAUCGGGAAGAACACCCGUGGCGAAGGCGGUCUCUGGGACGGUACUGACGCUGAGACGCGAAGCGUGGGGAGCGAACAGG